UACGGAGGGUGCAAGCAUUAAUCGGAUUUAUUGGGCGUAAAGGGCGCGUAGGCGGAAGGAAAAGUCAGAUGUGAAAUCCCGGGGCUCAACCCCGGAACAGCAUUUGAAACUCUCUUUCUAGAGGAUAGGCGGAGAAAACGGAAUUCCACAAGUAGCGGUGAAAUGCGUAGAUAUGUGGAGGAACACCUGUGGCGAAAGCGGUUUUCUAGCUUAUACCUGACGCUGAGGCGCGAAAGCAAGGGGAGCAAACAGG
rnacentral:rRNA from 1 species